ACCCACGUAUUCUUUUCUCUCUGAAAUUUUUCCCCAGCAGCACCGCCCGCCCUUCUCCUAUCUCCCUGCUCGCCCUGCCUCUUCUUCCUUGAGCCGUGCCCGGUGCUCCUCCACCAAGCCUCGCCGGCGUACUCUCCUGGCCGUGGUCGGAUCUGUCCCCCUGCUUCCUAUUCCCAGCUCCCUACCCCUCUCCAUGGCGUCGCCCAGCUCCAGCUCGCCCCCCUCUGAUCUACACGCAGGGGUUUCUUCCAUGGCGAGCUCCCCCAGGCCAGCCGCCAUAUGUGCAGUGGGGGAUAGCUUCUCGGUCCUCCGUCGAAAGAUCAAGUGUUGCUGAUCAAUUUUUAAGCAAGAAAUCUGGUAUGACGCAUGACAAGGUUGUCUGCUAUGGCAUACAACUAUGUCUCUAUUUCAUCCUAUAAUGAGUU